AUUGAACGCUGGCUGCAGGCCUAACACAUGCAAGUCGAACGAGUGGCGGACGGGUGAGUAAUGUCUGGGAAACUGCCCGAUGGAGGGGGAUAACUACUUGAAACGUUAGCUAAUACCGCAUACCAUCAGAUGUGCCCAUAUGGGAUUAGCUAGUUGGUGGGGUAACUGCUCACCAAGGAGACGAUCCCUAGCUGGUCUGAGAGUAUGACCAGCCACACUGGAACUGAGACAAGGUACAGACUCCUACGGGAGGCAGCAGUGGGGAAUAUUGCACAAUGGGCGCAAGCCCGAUGCAGUCAUGCAGCGUGUAUGAAGAAGUCCUUCGGGUUUGAAAGUACUUUCAGCGGUGAUGCGUUACCCGCAGAAGAAGCACCGGCUAACUCAGUGCCAGCAGCCGCGGUAAUUC
rnacentral:rRNA from 1 species